AAAAGGAAUUAAUAGGUCAAUAGAAUGCACACCUCAGGUGGAAUCUGCAGCAGCACAAGCAAUUUGUCUACCUCAUCAAUCAAAGCCACAUUACUAUCAGAUUGCAACUCCAGUCUGUUAUUACGCCAUUCUAUCUGCAAAAUCAUAAGGUUAUUCUCCGUGUUGCCUGUUGCGGGCAUGAUGGCGAGGUGCUUGUGACAUCCAGUGGAUCUGGCAAUGCGCACAAACCCGGUGUUGGGCUUGCAGUUGGUGGUUGGAUCCAGGCCUGUGGUGCCGUUUGAUAGCAGGGACGGUCGGAAACACACCCGUUCAGAAGACCGUGAAUGUAACAGGAGUUUUCUCCUUGCUCGUUAAUCUGAACAUGGUUUUCCUUGGCAACGGUAGCGUGAGGCGGCUAAAGGGGUGCUAAUCCGUGUUGCCUGCUUCGGCAUUGGCCUCCAGAUGAUGGGGCAUGGCUCCAGCAACUUGUGUGGAGGGUGGUACCGCAUCGCCUACUCAGGCAGCAAAGGGACCUACCCACCAGCACUGCCACAGGGCCGCACCAUCCAUUAGUCCAUUUGUGGUGUAUUUUGUGGGGUUGGGGUGGGUUGACCUGGGCAAAAACCUCAGCUAGCUCCGGUUGGAGCCAACUACGGUGACACCUUACAGUGUGACUAUCUUCAUUGGAACCAUCGUUGGGGUGUCCAUACUCAAAGCGGUAAAUCUCUAUGGUGGCGUUUGGGAAGUGGGAAAUGAGAGGUGGGUAUGGGAUAUGAGGAGACAAUUGAACCCUAACCUAUGUUUGGGUAGUGGGAAAGGGAUAUACUGUAGCACUGGGAAAGGGAAAUUAGAAAGUUAUAUCCCAUGCUUGAGCUUAAGCGGGUGGCGGCACUUGGCAUUGUAUCCCUCCUUGAGGUCCCGCCCAGGGAAUCCCACGCUGAAGACACGAAAGCAGAGAUGGAGGGUCGAGGGCGUAUGGACGACAGCAGUAGCGAUAGCUCACCGGUGACCAAUCACCAAUGGGCAACAUAAGUUGGUAAGGUGCUGAUUCAGGGACUUAAGGGCCUUCGUCGAAGGCACUCGGCGUCCUUCUUAGCUAACCGGUGACCGACCCCCCAUCAUUCAAUACCCUGGAAGGAGGAAUAGUUUGGAUGAGGAUAAGGGGCUUGCCAAAGCUCUUCCUAGUUGAGUGUUGAGUUUGUUCAGAUGCACUGUGCGUCUCUAGAGGACUGCAGUCAAUUGUUGGAGACUUCAAUGCUGGAAUUGAUCAACAAAUUGGCUGGUGAAAUCAGAAUAGGAUCAAGGCUUAAGUCUUGUAAACUUUACCUUGUGGUAAAGUGUGGUCUAAGUACUAUGUGUCUGUAUUGAAUGAUUGUACACAUUCAUUCGUGGAUGUUGAUGGCCGAAAUUUUAUA